UGGGCAACCUGCCCCUGGCUCUGGGAUAACUCCAAGAAAUUGGGGCUAAUACCGGAUAUGACGUGCUGACCGCAUGGUCUGGUGGUGGAAAGAUUUUAUCGGCUGGGGAUGGGCCCGCGGCCUAUCAGCUUGUUGGUGGGGUAGUGGCCUACCAAGGCGACGACGGGUAGCCGGCCUGAGAGGGUGACCGGCCACACUGGGACUGAGACACGGCCCAGACUCCGUACGGGAG
rnacentral:rRNA from 1 species